rnacentral:lncRNA from 1 species
AAACCUGCAAGAUAAUAAGGAAAUUUUGUGAGGAGUCUUCUUCCUCCUGCAUUUCCUUCUUCGUAGAACCAAGACCACUUGAUGCUGCGGGGCUCUAUUUCUUUUAAGGUAGGCAUUAGUUUGCUAUGCCGGCUAUUCGCUGGCUGUGGCAAGGCUGAGCUUCAUUGUCCGCUUGCUUCGUGACUUAGAUUCACAUAGGAUCAGACCUAUUUCGGCAGAUUCAAUCAAGUUGCAAGUUCAAUGUUUUCUAGGUGUGUUUUAAUUAAAUUGAGUUGCUUUGUCGUUUGCCUUUAUUGAAUGAAGGGUUGGAGAUUCAUGCAGCUGCAGCAAAUUUGGGUUUUGAUAAAUAUUCAUUCUGCAAUGCGUUUGUUGAAAAUGUAUGCUGCAUUGGAAGGAUUUUUAGUGGCACGUUUGGUGUUUGAUAAAAUGCCUUGUCGUGAUUUUUUUACUUGGAGCAUUAUGAUUAAUGAACUCUAAUGCAGAACCAAACAAGAUGGUCCUUUUGUUGAUCGAAUAAUUGAGAAAUUGUUCAAUUAAAAAUUUUCUUUAAAUUUGUUGAUGAAUUGCAGUUUUUAUGAUUUCUUUCUUCUGUCCUUGUUUUGUUUGGGUUUAUAUAAAUUAGAGAGAGAUUGAUGGAGACAAUGGAAGAUGGUGAAAGAACCAGGAAUAAAGUGAAAGAUGAUGAGGG